rnacentral:rRNA from 1 species
AGUGAACGCUGGCGGUAGGCCUAACACAUGCAAGUCGAACGGCAGCACAGUAAGAGCUUGCUCUUACGGGUGGCGAGUGGCGGACGGGUGAGGAAUACAUCGGAAUCUACUUUUUCGUGGGGGCUAACGUAGGGAAACUUACGCUAAUACCGCAUACGACCUCCGGGUGAAAGCAGGGGAUCUUCGGACCUUGCGCGAUUGAAUGAGCCGAUGUCGGAUUAGCUAGUUGGCGGGGUAAAGGCCCACCAAGGCGACGAUCCGUAGCUGGUCUGAGAGGAUGAUCAGCCACACUGGAACUGAGACACGGUCCAGACUCCUACGGGAGGCAGCAGUGGGGAAUAUUGGACAAUGGGCGCAAGCAUGAUCCAGCCAUACCGCGUGGGUGAAGAAGGCCUUCGGGUUGUAAAGCCCUUUUGUUGGGAAAGAAAAGCAGCAGGUUAAUACCCCGCUGUUCUGACGGUACCCAAAGAAUAAGCACCGGCUAACUUCGUG